rnacentral:rRNA from 1 species
GACGAACGCUGGCGGCGUGCUUAACACAUGCAAGUCGAACGAAAAGAGGGAAAGAGCUUGCUCUUUCCGGAAUUGAGUGGCAAACGGGUGAGUAACACGUAAACAACCUGCCUUCAGGAUGGGGACAACAGACGGAAACGACUGCUAAUACCGAAUAAGUUCCAAGAGCCGCAUGGCCCAUGGAAGAAAAGGUGGCCUCUACCUGUAAGCUAUCGCCUGAAGAGGGGUUUGCGUCUGAUUAGCUGGUUGGAGGGGUAACGGCCCACCAAGGCGACGAUCAGUAGCCGGUCUGGGAGGAUGAACGGGCACACUGGGACUGAGACACGGUCCAGACUCCUACGGGGGGCAGCAGUGGGGAAUCUUCCGCAAUGGGCGAAAGCCUGACGGAGCAACGCCGCGUGAGUGAUGACGGCCUUCGGGUUGUAAAACUCUGUGAUCCGGGACGAAAAGGCAGAGUGCGAAGAACAAACUGCAUUGACGGUACCGGAAAAGCAAGCCACGGCUAACUACGUG